rfam:Microgenomates bacterium GW2011_GWC1_41_20 TT51_C0001, whole genome shotgun sequence.
UCUGGAGAAAGGAUGAUCGCUCUUCCGUAGCCUUGUGCGAAGGAGAGAGGAAAGUCCAGGCAGCAGAAAGCAGGGUGUCCGCCGCAAAGCGGAGACGGGUCUUAGGGGCAACUUUAAGACUUGGCCAGUUAGAGCCACAGAAACUAUGUCGAGCCCAUUACCCUAAAGGUAAAGGGAAACGAGUGAAAAGAGGCAAUCCUCCCCGCUGCAACCUCCGAAAUGGGCGCUUGAGGAGCUUUCCCGAGCCCAGAGGUUCGAGGGCAACCCGUUUAUCGGGUCUGGCACGUUCUACGUGCUUGAGAUGGAUGAUCAUCGAGAAACAGAACCUGGCUUACUAUUUUCCAGAGUAC